rnacentral:rRNA from 1 species
UUUGAUCCUGGCUCAGAUUGAACGCUGGCGGUAUGCUUAACACAUGCAAGUCGAACGGAAACGAAACUAGCUUGCUAGUAGGCGUCGAGUGGCGGACGGGUGAGUAACGCGUAGGAAUCUGCCUGAUAGUGGGGGAUAGCCCGAAGAAAUUCGGAUUAAUACCGCAUAAUCUAUUCGUAGUAAAGUGGGGGACUUUCGAGCCUCACGCUAUCAGAUGAGCCUGCGUAAGAUUAGCUUGUUGGUAGGGUAAAAGCCUACCAAGGCAACGAUCUUUAGCUGGUCUGAGAGGAUGAUCAGCCACAUCGGGACUGAGACACGGCCCGAACUCCUACGGGAGGCAGCAGUGGGGAAUAUUGGACAAUGGGGGCAACCCUGAUCCAGCAAUACCGCGUGUGUGAAGAAGGCCUGAGGGUUGUAAAGCACUUUCAAUUGUGAAGAAAAGUUAACGGUUAAUAACCGUUGACCUUGACGUUAACUUUAGAAGAAGCACCGGCUAACUCCGUGCCAGCAGCCGCGGUAAUACGGAGGGUGCAAGCGUUAAUCGGAAUUACUGGGCGUAAAGCGUGCGUAGGCGGUUUAUUAAGUCAGAUGUGAAAGCCCCGGGCUUAACCUGGGAACUGCAUUUGAAACUGGUCAACUAGAGUAUGGUAGAGGAAAGUGGAAUUUCUGGUGUAGCGGUGAAAUGCGUAGAUAUCAGAAGGAACAUCAAUGGCGAAGGCAGCUUUCUGGACCAAUACUGACGCUGAGGUACGAAAGCGUGGGUAGCAAACAGGAUUAGAUACCCUGGUAGUCCACGCCGUAAACGAUGAUAACUAGCCGUUGGGGGGAUUUACCCUUUAGUGGCGAAGCUAACGCGUUAAGUUAUCCGCCUGGGGAGUACGGCCGCAAGGUUAAAACUCAAAGGAAUUGACGGGGACCCGCACAAGCGGUGGAGCAUGUGGUUUAAUUCGAUGCAACGCGAAGAACCUUACCUGGUCUUGACAUCCUGCGAACUUUCUAGAAAUAGAUUGGUGCCUUCGGGAACGCAGUGACAGGUGCUGCAUGGCUGUCGUCAGCUCGUGUCGUGAGAUGUUGGGUUAAGUCCCGCAACGAGCGCAACCCCUACCCUUAAUUGCCAUCGGGUUAUGCCGGGCACUUUAGGGGGACUGCCGGUGACAAGCCGGAGGAAGGUGGGGAUGACGUCAAGUCCUCAUGGCCUUUAUGACCAGGGCUACACACGUGUUACAAUGGGAGUUACAGAGGGAAGCUAAGCCGUGAGGCCAUGCCAAUCCCAGAAAAGCUUUCUCAGUUCGGAUCGCAGUCUGCAACUCGACUGCGUGAAGCUGGAAUCGCUAGUAAUCGCGGAUCAGCACGCCGCGGUGAAUACGUUCCCGGGCCUUGUACACACCGCCCGUCACACCAUGGGAGCCGACAAGGGCAGAAGUCGCCGAGCUAACCUUCGGGAAGCAGGCGCCCAAGCUGUUGUUGACGACUGGGGUGAAGUCGUAACAAGGUAGCC